rnacentral:lncRNA from 1 species
GGCAGCGAAGGGCGAGACUGGGCUCGCCAGGCGGAAGUGGUUGGAGACUGCGUGUUUUCCUAGAAAGUCCUCGACCUUCGUCGGGGAGAGGAGGGGAGUGAUAAAUUGGAAGGCGGACAAGCGACAAGUGCAGUACUGGAAAGACCCAAACAUACUUGGUUGUGACCUCAGGACUCAAUAAAAUAAACAGCUGGAAAUAAGCAGACUACUGUAAGAGUGAAUUGGAAAGAAAACCCAAGGUCACAUCUCCCAAGAAGCAGUAAUGUUCCAGCAAUAAGAAAAGGACAGUUUUUUGUCUUUUGCAUGGUGAGCCUUAUAUGAAUUACAUCAAUUUUGUCACCAAUAUCCAUCAUCAGAACAUUUUGAUUCUACAUAACACAUUGCAAAUGGUCACAACAAUCAAGACUAUAUCCAUAGAUGUCCCAGAAAUAAUACCUGACUAUACCGAGCAGCAUUACCAAGCCACCAAGAAGUCUGCCUAGUAAUGACAAUGAUAACAACAGCUAACACUUAUCAACAGAGCAGAGGAACAGAGCCACAGAUAACUGAAAACCACUUUGGCACUGAGGAGGUAUGCAGACAAGAUCUGGAAGGGAAUCUAGAAAAAUGGCAACUUUGGAAUCAUAGAUACCUUUUGUUUUCUUAUCGCUUUAAUUUUUGUCAUGAUAAAUAUUAA